AACUAGAUUCCCCGCAAACCCGUAUUCACAUACCCCGCGAACGGAGUCCAUUACGUGAAUCGUCGACGCUCCAACUGACGAGUUGACUCGUCAGGAAGGCUCGUGUUCAACGUCCAGCUCAUCUUCUUGCAUUCUUCUUCUCUCAGUCUCUCUUUACGCAGCUUGUAGUGCUUAAUCUUGAUCCAGAAUAGAACAGGGAGCUACAAUUGCGGAUCAACGUGUAUGCGUAACACAUUGGGGGGAACAUAUUGGAGAAUAUGAUCCUUGGAAUGGACGUGCGGAGAAUUUUGAAGGCAAUACUAGUUCAACGGUGUUCUUUGGGUUUCAGAUGUUUUGAUUCGUGCAGCCAAAGUUGCAGCUGAUAUGGAAACCCGCGGUAAGGAAUAGGUGAAAAUUUUCAGUCUACCUGAACAACACCAGUGUAUGUGUUCUGCUGUUUUUUGUGUAGAAUAAUUGGUCUUCUGUUGAAUAGUGUUGCAACUUAAAUGAUGAUCCGCAGUGUUGCAUUCUGUGGACUCUGAAUGCUUAAAUGUUUAGUACGUUUUGUCAAGAAUUGUAAUCACAUAUCGGAUUGGCAUAACCCAAUCGAGUGACAUAUAAACAAA